GGGAGCGUUACUGACGCUUAAGCUCGAAAGCGCGGGUAUCGAACAGGAUUAGAUACCCUGGUAGUCCGCGCGGUAAACGAUGAAUGCCCGCUGUUUGCGUCUAACGUAAGCGGCCAAGUGAAAACGUUAAGCAUCCCACCUGGGGAGUACGCCGGCAACGGUGAAACUCAAAGGAAUUGACGGGGGCCCGCACAAGCGGAGGAACAUGUGGUUUAAUUCGAUGAUACGCGAGGAACCUUACCCGGGCUUGAAUUGCUGAGGAAAGAUCCAGAGAUGGUGAUGCCCUUCGGGGCCUCAGUGAAGGUGCUGCAUGGUUGUCGUCAGCUCGUGCCGUGAGGUGUCGGCUUAAGUGCCAUAACGAGCGCAACCCCUCUCUUCAGUUGCCAUCAGGCUAUGCUGGGCACUCUGGAGACACUGCCACCGCAAGGUGUGAGGAAGGUGGGGAUGACGUCAAAUCAGCACGGCCUUGACGUCCGGGGCUACCCACGUGUUACAAUGGGGGGCACAGAGAGCGGGGUGCGCGCAAGCUUGCCCAAAUCCUUAAAUCCCCCCACAGUUCGGACUGGGGUCUGCAACCCGACCCCACGAAGCUGGAUUCGC
rnacentral:rRNA from 1 species